rnacentral:rRNA from 1 species
GUGGGGAAUAUUGGACAAUGGGCGAAAGCCUGAUCCAGCCAUGCCGCGUGUGUGAAGAAGGUCUUCGGAUUGUAAAGCACUUUAAGUUGGGAGGAAGAGCAGUAAGCUAAUAUCUUGCUGUUUUGACGUUACCGACAGAAUAAGCACCGGCUAACUUCGUGCCAGCAGCCGCGGUAAUACGAAGGGUGCAAGCGUUAAUCGGAAUUACUGGGCGUAAAGCGCGCGUAGGUGGUUUUGUAAGUUGAAGGUGAAAUCCCCGGGCUCAACCUGGGAACUGCCUCCAAAACUGCAUGACUAGAGUACGGUAGAGGGUAGUGGAAUUUCCUGUGUAGCGGUGAAAUGCGUAGAUAUAGGAAGGAACACCAGUGGCGAAGGCGACUACCUGGACUGAUACUGACACUGAGGUGCGAAAGCGUGGGGAGCAAACAGGAUUAGAAACCCCAGUAGUCC